UACGUAGGGUGCGAGCGUUACUCGGAAUUACUGGGCGUAAAGCGUGCGCAGGCGGUUUUGUAAGACUGAUGUGAAAUGCCCGGGCUUAACCUGGGAACUGCAUUUGUGACUGCAAGGCUAGAAUCUGGCAGAGGGGGGUAGAAUUCCACGUGUAGCAGUGAAAUGCGUAGAGAUGUGGAGGAACACCGAUGGCGAAGGCAGCCCCCUGGGCUAACACUGACGCUCAUGCACGAAAGCGUGGGGAGCAAACAGG
rnacentral:rRNA from 1 species